AACGAACGCUGGCGGCGUGGAUAAGACAUGCAAGUCGAACGGGACAGACCGAGUAGCAAUAUUUGGAAUGUUCAGUGGCGAACGGGUGCGUAACACGUGGAUAACAUUCCGGAAAACGGGAAUAGCCCAGGGAAACUUGGAUUAAUACCGCAUGUGGCCGCAAGGCUAAAGACGGGGACCGCAAGGACUGUCACUUUCCGAUUGGUCCGCGGCCUAUCAGCUAGUUGGCGGGGUAAUGGCCCACCAAGGCUACGCCGGGUAGCUGGUCUUAGAGGACGACCAGCCACACUGGAACUGAGACACGGUCCAGACACCUACGGGUGGCAGCAGUCGAGAAUCUUUCACAAUGGGGGCAACCCUGAUGGAGCGACGCCGCGUGGAGGAUAAGGUCUUCGGAUUGUAAACUCCUGUCAUGCGAGAACAAGGUACUCAGGCUAAUAACCUGAUUGUUUGAUGGUACCGCAAGAGGAAGAGACGGCUAACUCUGUGCCAGCCGCCGCUGUAAUAC
rnacentral:rRNA from 1 species